ACAGUGUAUGAUUUAUACUAACAUUACGCCUAUUCCUACUGAUUAGCUUGUUCAGGUGUGUUUGACAGUAUUAUAAUGCAUCUGAACGUUCAUAUUUGCAGCUCCAGAUUCAACACUCAUUCGAGUCAGCAGCUCAAACUCUGAGACGACAUCGAGCCGGACUACAGCAGCAGCUCCUACACAAGGUUCAUCAUCUCUCACACACAUCAGCAGACGUUCUCACAGACGGUUUAAUCAUCACAUCAGAUUUGUGGGCUGUUGUAGCACCUCUCACACACACAUUCCAGCUUCUGUGUUUAGCGGAUCUGAUGCACACGUUAGUAAUGAAGCACUCGAAAGUCAUUUAUUUAUUCGGACUUGAAUGACAGACUGGCACCACAAGCUUUAAACUUUCUAACCUUAUCUCCACAAGUUUAUAUCUGUAGCCCAUAUUUAUAAUUGAGACAAGAGCCUGGUUGCAAUGUCUUGCUUAUCAAACAAUUUUGUAGGCAGUCUAAUUUUUUCUAUUUCCAUUUUGUUUUAACGUCAACUACAGCAACAGCAGUGAUUCAAGAUAACACAUCAGACUCUAAGACUAAAGUGACUGUGAUUGUGAUUGCUGUCUGCGCUUCAUUCGCUCUUCUCCUUCUUGCUCUGAUUCUUUGGAUGAUGAUUCGUAAGAAAAGAUCCGGUGUCAGAAGAGCGACUGAUGACUCUGUGGAUCCUUCAUCCAGAGCUGGGACCAACUCAUUGUUUUGUGAGUCAAAUCUUGAGUCUUUGCAUUCAAGUCCCGAGUCAAGACAGACAAGUCCAAGUCAAGUAGAGCAGACAGAUGAUGUGACUUAUACUGAAGUUACUGCGUUCAGUAAAAACAGAGCCAAAAAGAACAAGGUUCACUGUGAUGAUAAAGUGACUUACGCUUCCAUCGGAGGAGCAAAAGCUGGAGCUCAGGAAGACUGCAGUCAACUUUACGCUUCUGUGACCAAGAACCAUCACAAAUCAGGAAAAUAAUCAUACAAUAAUCACACCAGCAGAGCAAUAUGAGCCUUAUAUAAUUGACUCCUAAUGGUUUCAUUCAGUGCCAUUAUAAAUAUUCAGUGCAGCGUAGAUUAUUUACAAAUUAUAGUCCUUUUCUGAUUACAAAUUACAUGAUGGGAAAUAUAAUGUAAUCUAUUAAAAUACACAUAUUAAGUAAUGUAUCCUGACAACUGUUCGAUUACUUUUAGGUUACUUUUGACCCAACUCCAGCGUUUCCCAAACUGGGCUUCGUGAUCAUCAUAAAAAAAAUUUCAAAUUAAACUAAUUAAGUCAUUUUAAAGUGAAAACAAUCAAAAUAAACACUUGAACAGUAAUUUUUUUAAAUAUUUU
ensembl:lncRNA